AAUUCAUAUUUUUCGAUCUCAUAGGUCCCAUGGGCUCUACCGGAAGGGGCGUGACUUCGCCAUUAUUGGCCGCUGGGAGGCAGAGAUCCGUUCCCUGGCCGUUUCUGAAAUGGCAUACUACAUACUGCUCGUAUACUGAUCGUGACGUAAAAGUAUAUACAUCCAGAGCUCACUACGUCGGAUACUGUAUCCCAUAAUGCAACGCGGCACCGUUGGAAAAAAACCGUUGAACAUUUCGAAUAAUGGCGGCGGAAAAUGUGAGCGAUGAAUAUAAAUGGACUGAUGUAGACACCGCAGCUCUCAUCAGUUGGAGAUCUACGAAUGAGGGCAUGUUCACGGGCAGGAGGAAUGCGGCGCAGAAGGGGUUCGAAGAAUUUAUUAAGGUCCAGGGGCUAGAGGGGAAGAUGGAGGCCACCAAAAUUAAAAGUAUUCUUACAAAAGAAAUAAAGGACCAUUUAAAUAAGCAUUUCAUGUCUGCUCUUUCAUAUAAUUUAGAAAAUAAUUUAGUCAUAACAAAUCAUUUUUAUUGAACAAGUUGUGAAUAUAAUUGUUAGUAAGACAGGACAAGGUUAAUAAAACACAAAAGACGGAACAUGGGGCAUACACAGACAAAAGACAACACUAGGAAAAAGCAAAGAACUAUAUACAGGUAUACUAUUUAACUAUUUACAAAUGAGUCUCCAGGGUGCAGACCAUGUUCAGUACACAUGAUCUCUCAGUGCAUCUAUGCAGGCAUUUGGUGCAGAGACAGUGGCAGCCAGUCUGCGCCUGAUGUUGUCUCCUGGUUCCACAGCAUGCUGCAUUUCAUUGUUGUCGGGGAGAUCCUGUGGAAAGUCUCCUGGCUCCACAAAGUCUCCAUUUGAUAGGCACAAGUUGUGGAGGAAGACACAGCAGGACACCACCACUGGGGCAAAGGUUGACUUUACCUAUUUGCAGAGAUGGGCAGUAUUUUAAAUUAGAUGUAUUUAAAAUAUGCAUUUAAUUACUUUUGAGUAUCUUAUUCAACAUAAGACAAAUAUAGAAACUAAUCUGUAACAGACAGAUAUUGCAUGCCAAGGAAAGCUACUGAAUAACAGUGAAUACAAGCAUUUUCUCAUAUUGUCAUUUUAUGCUCAUUUAAAUUUCAUAAGCAUUUGCACAUUGACACACACACUUGUAUGUAUUAUGUUUUCUUUACCUCAAGGGCCUUCAGAAAGAUGGAUCUCCACCUGGUCUCAUCAUCCCGAAGGCCCUCUCCACAACACACCUUGCCUUUCUUUGACAGGUGCUUGCUGUACCUGGCCUGUACGGGGCCCUGUACUGGCUCCCGGAACGGGGUCAUCAGGCAGAUGGGGGUAGCAAGGCAAGGAUAGCCUCCAUCGCCUAUGAUGCACCACCCAGGUGGUGGGUACAGCUGCUGCACAUACACAGAGCUCCACCUGAGCACCCGGGCAUCAUGGACUGAGCCAGGAAGGCCAACAAAAGCAUUGAGGAAGCGCCCUUUAUGGUCACAAAUGGCCUGCAGCUGAAUUGAAUGGAACAACUUUCUAUUAUAAUAAUCCUCCUUGUAUUCCCCAGGAGGCUUUAUUCUAAUGUGGCUGCAGUCAAUGCUCCCAGCCACACGGUUCAAGGCAGGUGAACCAGCCAGCUGGGCGAACCCCGCUCCGAUGACCUCCAGCUCAGCCUCAGACGGGAAACAUACAGCCUUUGUGUAGAUCUGCAGUAUUCCCUUUGCAACCCGAUGGACAAUCAUGUGGACGGUGGAAAGAGGCACAUCAAAGGCCUCAGAGACCACUCUGUAGGAGGUGGCACUGGCCAGCCAGUAUAGAAAAACUGCCACCUCCAGUUCUCUCCCCCAGCCAUGGAUGUGCUCAUCCACCAGGGCCUCCACAAGGGCAUUCACGGACUCCCUAGAAAGACGGAAGUCUUUCUUUAGGUCGCCGUCACCAAAAAAAAGGGAAACAGCUGGGGUUUUGUCAUUCAGCUGACAAUACUGACCCCUAAGGUCAACCUGAAUGAAGGGAAAACUCUGUUAUUUAAAUCCAUUUUCAUUGAUAUGCAUGUACAAAUAGUUUUACUAUAUUUGAUUAAAAUGUUGUUAUUUG